rnacentral:lncRNA from 1 species
CCAUCUCCGUCAGGAUCACCUCCCACUCGGCCAUGGCCGGAACAGGGCCAUAGACUGGAGGUGCAAGGGGCUCUUCGUGGGCAGGCGUCGGUGUUGGGAGAUCCGGGUAAGUGUCCCCUCCGUCGAUCUCUGAUUCCAGUGGUGGAUUGGCCGGGUUUGAAGGGCAUGGCCCGUAUCUGUGCACAGGACAGAAGAUCCCCCCUGUGUAUUCCAGUUGCCAAUCCAUGUGUGGAGCAACAAAGGCCGACGGGGCGACAAAGUCCGGCAUUGGAGGUGCCUGGUAGGCAUGGUGGACGGCCGUGGGUGGGUGGCUUGGUCCUGCUACUGCAGAUCCAUGGUGGUCGUGGUGACCACCACGCCCACGGCGACCACGGCGACCACGGCGGCCGUUGCUAGAGCCCCAAUGGCGAUGAACUCCAAGACCCUGGCUUCUUGCAGAUCGACAGAUUUCUCUUCUAAUGAAACGAACGAGGGCGGAGGCGUGCAGGUUCAUCCCUGCCAUCUCACCUUUUCUCUUCGUCUCCGGUGCUCUGUCGGUAGGCUACGUGCUGAUAACGUGUGAAG